UCAUCUAGGGAGCAUGUGCACGCCUUUCAUCUUUAUAUCUCCACCUGUGCACCUUUUGUAGACCUUUUCAGGUCUAUGUUGCUUCAUUUACCCCAAUGUAUGUUAAUAGAAUGUUGUGCCUAUAUAAUAAUAUACAACUUUCAGCAACGGAUCUCUUGGCUCUCGCAUCGAUGAAGAACGCAGCGAAAUGCGAUAAGUAAUGUGAAUUGCAGAAUUCAGUGAAUCAUCGAAUCUUUGAACGCACCUUGCGCUCCUUGGUAUUCCGAGGAGCAUGCCUGUUUGAGUGUCAUUAAUAUAUAUAUCAACCUUCAUUUUUUGAGUGGUUUGGAUGUGGGGGUUUGCUGGCCUCUUAAAAGGUUCAGCUCCCCUGAAAUGCAUUAGCAGAACCCAACCUGUUCAUUGGUGUGAUAACUAUCUACGCUAUUGAAUGUGAGGGCAGUUCAGCUUUCUAACCGUCCCUUGGACAAAUUUAUCAUUAAUGUGACCUCAAAUCAGGUAGGACUACCCGCUGAACUUAAGCAUAUCAAUAAGCGGAGGAA
rnacentral:rRNA from 1 species